CUUUCUUCAGCAAGGAUGAACAUGGAAACGUUAGGGAAAAUGCAUUCUGGCUUUACAGGGUUUCCUUCAUGUUGUACAGUGUAUUCACCUGGCUGAUCACAGUUCUGAUUGGCUACUUGGCUAGUCAUGUGACCAGUAAGGUUCUGAACCAAGAAGACAUUCCUGUCAACCCUGCUCUAAUAACUCCCCUAUUUAGACCCAGGCAAAGAGGAAAUAUCCAGGAGUGCUCCCAUGACAGGACCAGACAUGGCAUCCAAGUUUCAACGUGUAAGGGAGAUAUACCUGCAGUAUAUACCAGCAGUGAAGAACCUCUUCAGCCAAACGCUGAAUGAAAACCACCCGCUCUAGCAGUAGACUACACAAAACUGGACGGUCCCUAUGCAACAAAAAUCACAUGACUACACCCAAAUGCAGGACUGAAAGAAUGAAAAAAUCAUUUCUGCAUCAGGCGAUAAGCCUCUACAACACGGACUUGUAAAUAUCUGUGACAUAGUGGACACUAUAGAACCCGAUUUUAUUGUCUAUGCCAAUUUUUUAUAUGUAAAUUUUAACGUGUAUGUGUAUAUGAACAACAGAUGUUAGCGGACAAUUGACGUCUUUUAUGUGUUUUGUGAAAUUUGUUGCGUAAUUCUGGCUGCAAUGCACAUUUUGGUGUUGAAUAAACUAAAAGCUCAUGGGUGUAACAUACCCAGUGACUCCUGCAAUAAUGCAAGAACCCAAUAGAUACAUUUAUGGUUUGAAAAGAACCCAAAAUAUCCCAAUUAAAUCAUUUUAAAGCAGGUGACAUCAAAACUGUGAAUUGAGUCUUCUAGAUCUGUGCAUAUGUUCAAACUACCCACAUAUGACACCUUUCAGGUCAUUUGGGACAGGAGUCACCCCUCCAAAAAAAAACUCUGUUAAAAGGAUUUAAAAGCGUCAAUUGAAAAAUGGGGCAAAUGGUACAACAAAUCUAUAUAAGUUAUCAACAAUCAAACUGAAAGCUCAUUUAUGUUGCUAAAAUCUAUGUCCAAAGCUAAAGCUUAAAACAUAGACCAAACCAAAACCUAACAAGAGCUCAGAGACCUCAUACCUCCAUGAAAUAUCUUGGAGUUUUGUCAAUUUCUUGCCACAUCUUGUGUCAUAUAUCGAUUGAGAAAUCAUAAUGAU